AGAACGAACGCUGGCGGCAUGCCUAACACAUGCAAGUCGAACGAGACCUUCGGGUCUAGUGGCGCACGGGUGCGUAACGCGUGGGAAUCUGCCCUUAGGUACGGAAUAACAGUGAGAAAUUACUGCUAAUACCGUAUGAUGUCUUCGGACCAAAGAUUUAUCGCCUAGGGAUGAGCCCGCGUAGGAUUAGCUAGUUGGUGGGGUAAAGGCCUACCAAGGCGACGAUCCUUAGCUGGUCUGAGAGGAUGAUCAGCCACACUGGGACUGAGACACGGCCCAGACUCCUACGGGAGGCAGCAGUGGGGAAUAUUGGACAAUGGGCGAAAGCCUGAUCCAGCAAUGCCGCGUGAGUGAAGAAGGCCUUCGGGUUGUAAAGCUCUUUUACCCGGGAAGAUAAUGACUGUACCGGGAGAAGUAAGCCCCGGCUAACUCCGUGCCAGCAGCCGC
rnacentral:rRNA from 1 species